rnacentral:rRNA from 1 species
AGGAAUCUGCCUAGUAGUGGGGGAUAACGUCCGGAAACGGGCGCUAAUACCGCAUACGUCCUACGGGAGAAAGUGGGGGAUCUUCAGACCUCACGCUAUUAGAUGAGCCUAGGUCGGAUUAGCUAGUUGGUGAGGUAAUGGCUCACCAAGGCGACGAUCCGUAACUGGUCUGAGAGGAUGAUCAGUCACACUGGAACUGAGACACGGCCCAGACUCCUACGGGAGGCAGCAGUGGGGAAUAUUGGACAAUGGGCGAAAGCCUGAUCCAGCCAUGCCGCGUGUGUGAAGAAGGUCUUCGGAUUGUAAAGCACUUUAAGUUGGGAGGAAGGGCAGUUACCUAAUACGUGAUUGUUUUGACGUUACCGACAGAAUAANCACCGGCUAACUCUGUGCCAGCAGCCGCGGUAAUACAGAGGGUGCAAGCGUU